GGCAUAUGGAGGUUCCCAGGCUAGGGGUUGAACUAGAGCUGUAGCUGCCAGCCUGAGCCACAGCCACAGCAACAUGAGAUCCGAGUUGCAUUUGCAGCCUACACCAGAGCUCACAGCAACACCGGAUCCUUAACCCACUGAGCAAGGCCAGGGAUCGAGAAUCUUGUGUUCUCAUGGAUGCCAGUCAGAUUGGUUUCCACUGAGCCACGAUGGGAACUCCCUCCCCAUUAAUUUUUGAUGCCACCUUUAAUAAGCAUGACAUUUUCACAAUUUAAGUUCUCUGUGCUUUUAUUCUUUACUAUGGGUCUCUCAUCUGUUUGAAAUAUUCAAAAUAAGUUGAAUGAACACAUUUUUAUUUUACAAAAGUAUGACUAAUUCUACAAAAUUAUGUAUUUUAUAAAAGUAUGGCUUGUACGUAAUUUUACAAAGUAUGGAUAUUUAUAACUAUAAUUUUAUAAAAAGUAUAGAGUGUGCUAGGAUAUCUUUAUUCCUCCAUGUACAUUUUGGGUUUGCUUAUCUUAUUUAUCCUUGUAUUUCCUAUUAUGUAGCAUCAUGCCUGGGACAAAACAGGCCAUGGUAUUAUUUUUGUACAUAAAGAAAUUAUUAAAUUACAUUGAUACAGGAAUGUAAAAAAGUGCUAGGUGAGCAGAGAGGACAAAGACCAAAUGGAAGAUGAGAGAAACUAGACUGGAACCAAGGCUUCUGGCUUAGGCGUAAACAGCUUAGCUCUAAAGGCAAAUAGGUGAACAUAUAGCCACUGGAAUAUAGUCCAUUUAUAUAAUUCUCUAGCAAAUCUGCUUUGCCAUCUGUCUUGGUCUCUAAAUAACUUGGAGUUCAAGAGUUUACAGGGGGUUGCACUCAAGCUCAACUUUUUUGGUAGAUGGUUAUGGGGCACUGAACUUACUCUCCAAAAGCAGAAACAAACCAAACAGGGGUGACGUCCUGUUCACCGCCGUUCACCUCUCCUUGCAACUGCCCUGACAGUCUCUCAUUAUUGAUACAAUGAUGCCCAGAAGAUGGUUCAUGGAAAUUCUCAUCCCCUGCUAGGCUGCCCCAGUUUUAUAAAGUGAAAAUCUGGUGGGCUGACUCUACGGGGGAAAAAAAGGCCACCAGGAAAAAAGAAAGGGGGCUGUUUAAAAAAGACAGCAGCUGCUAUGAUGCUGCAUUAAUGCAGACACAGCAGAGUGAAGACAGGAGGUCUAUUUUGCGCUUUGUUUCUCUUCUUUUGCUUUUCUCCCCCCCCUUACUCCUUUGGUGAUGAUAUCACGAGAGUUAAUAGAAACACUGCAGUGGAAUUUUCUGAACAAAGAAAUGGUUACCCUCCUUAAUUAGCUCAAUUCCAGUGCAAUUCUCCUUCCAAAGUAGGAGCAUUUUGCAGCCACCUUCUCCUCCCUAAAUUCAUCUCCAUCUCCCAGCACCCUUUCCAAACAACAUCACUAGUCUAAUGUCUGGAAGGCACCAAUGAAACCAGGUAAAACAGCAUUAACUAGGAUUUCCGAAUUCUGAAAUUGUGACCUAUACAGGUAUGAAUGUGAAAUUUUUCUGUACUAACAAGGUGUAUAUUUAUUUACAUGUUAUGGCAAAUAAUAUUAAACUACUUUUAAAAAGCUAUUCUCAAGCACCUUAAAUACUUUAGGUAUCCUCAUUAAUAUUUACAAGGCUUAUACCUUAUAGCCAGAAGAAAUCAUAAAGAUAAUUUUAUAUAACAUUUAUCUCACAGAGGAGGAACCUAAACCUUAGAAAGGGGUAGAGACUUGAAGUGACCAUUUCAAAGCCUACGUAAAGAUUUCUACUAAGCAAAUUUCCAUUAGCUUAAUCCAAAUGCAAUUCCAAAACCACCUUAGAAAUUAGAAGUAGAAAGUUCACAGGUUUCCAAUGUACUGAUGAAUGUUUUUUACCUUGGCUGUAAUCAGACACAUCCCUUCUAACUCAAUGCUACAUUUGUAACGUUAACAUCAUUUACUCUCGCCUUUUUAUUUAGUUGAGGAAAUAGUUAACCGACUGAUGAUAUGACCGUAAAAAAAAACUAAACAGGGUGGGAAAGUAGGUUCUUAUGGAAUAUGAGCUAUGGAUCCACCACCAAAUGAAUGAUCACGCAAAGAAUAUCAAAUUCACAAAUACAUUCUCAUUUGAAGUAAAAGUAUUCAAUAUAAGGGCUAUUUUGCAAAGACAGAAAAUAUUGCUGAUCCAUGAUUACUGAACACACACGAGGAUAAUUAUUGCCUUUUACUAUGCUCUCUAUCCACCUUAAAACAAUUGAACCUAUAGAUUGAAAAAAAUGUUCAUUGAAGCUGAGGUCGUUCUGGAGUGAGCCACAAGGAAAUUCCUCAAAAUACAACAUUAAAGAAAAAAAAAAGCAUAGCUUAAACUAACACAAUUCAAAUGAUUCUACUUGUAUGUCUAUUAAACACUUCUUAUCAUGAGCAUGAAAAAAAGUUACACAAGAAAAUCUUGGUAAAAAUCAUUUGGAGUGAACCAGUUCCGAAAUAAACUCCUAAUUUUUUGCCAAAAUAAUUUUCUCACUAAAGAAGGAUACUCUCCAGAUAUAUAAAGACUAUAUAGUAAGCAGAUACUGGUUAGUCUCAAAACAAUUGCAAAGCCUGGCAGCUUGUCAAAUAUGGCGUCCUUGUCUGAAAAAAUUAGCUGUAAUUAAUAAGUAUCAUUAGCAACGGGAAAGUCACUUUUCCAAGAUAUUAAUAGAUGUAAAGUACCUUUCUCCUGCCCAUGAAUUGCCACACAACUCUUUCAGGUCCUCCUCUAAUACUGAACAGAAGUUAAGGGGGGAUGCAAGUGGAGCUAGGGGCUUGAGGGUAGGGAGAGGAGCAGUAACCACAUCAAAAGCCCUAUUAAAAAAAAAAAUCAAGACCCCCCCCCGAAAGCCCUUAUUUAUCUAGGUUUCCCAUCAUUAUCACAAACCUUGUGCUGCCAUUUUCCCCUCUCAAAAAAAAAAAAAAGUUAGGGAUUAAUUUUAUUACAUAGCUCAAGGAAAAGAAUACCUGACCGUAAUUAUAAUCUACUGUUAAGGAAGCCAGAUGUGAACCACACAAACAUCUGAAAGGAGGAUUAAAAAGUUAUGGACACAUUCGAGCAAGCAUUUCAAGGGGAAUGAAGAUUUCUUGCAUAAAUCUAAUAGGAAAGAUGUGCUGUGAGCCAUCUGGUAAGUGCCUUAUACAGCCCCAUACAUUAGCAUCUGUUGUCAUGUUUUCAAAGUUCAGAAUUUCAACACUGUGCUGAUGAGUCUUCUGAAUGCAGUGAGUUGGCUGGGAUGGAUUGAAAAAAAAAAUCCUAAAGAAAGGGUUUGGACUUGACCUUUAAAUAAAAUUCUGGAUGAUGUUUUCGGGGUUAAGAUAAGUGCUGUCUCUAUUAUACGCUUAUUCGGGCCUCAGAACCAUUGUAAGGGUAGGAAGACAUGAUGAUGAUAAUGGCCAUUUUACAGAUGAAGUAACUGAGAUUCAUGGACUCUUGCAAGGUUGCCUGGGUGGCAGCUGCAUGGUCAGGACUAUAGAUUCCUAGAUCUCUUCACCUUCUGAGAUGAUCUGUAGGCUUUGAACCAGAAUACAGGUGUUGCAGGUGUUAGGGCUAUGAGAGCAACAACCCUCUCUCGGCUUCCCAGAUUGCUCAUGAACUAGCAUAGACUCCUUGAGAGAAAGGACUGAGGAUUCGAAGGGCAAGGCACACACAGCGCCCUUCCUCCUUACAGCAGUGAACCCUUGUUGAAUAAAUGAAUUAAGAAUGGAUCAGGAAGAUGAGGUACAUAGACACAAUGGAAUGCAACUCAGCCCUGAAAAAGAAUGAAACGAUGCCAUUGGCAGCAACAUGGAUGGACCUAGAGAUGAUCAUACUAAGUAAGUCAGACAAAGACAAAUAUCAUAGGAUAUCACGUAUACAUGGAAUCUAAAAAAAUUAUACAAAUCAACUUACUUACCAAAUAGAAAUAGAUUCAUAGGCAUAGAAACCCAACUUAUGGUUACCAAAGGGAUAGCAGGCGAUGGGGAGAUAAUUUAGGAGUUCUGGAUUAUCAUACACACCCUACUGUAUAUAAAACAGGUCAACAACAAGGACCUACUGUGUAGCACAGGGAACUGUACUCAAUAUCUUAUAAUAAACUAUAUUGAAAAAGAAUCUGAAAAAGAACAUAUAUAAAUAAAACUGAAUCACUUUGCUGUACACCUGAAAUUAACAAAACAUUCUAAAUUAACUAUAUUUCAACUAAAAAAAAAAAAAAAGUAUGCCAGGCAACUCCUAGUACCUAGAAAAUACUCAGCCUCAACAACAUGAUAGAUGCUGAGAUAAGCAAACAAAAUACAUAUUUUU
rnacentral:lncRNA from 1 species